rfam:Metarhizium album ARSEF 1941 scaffold_5, whole genome shotgun sequence.
UUGUGAUGAUACACCAGCUGGCACCAGUCAUAGAGUGACUUGUACUCCCUUCAUUGAUGACCAACAUUGCUGUGGUCCAAGACCAUUUCUGAU